UACGUAGGGUGCAAGCGUUGUCCGGAAUUAUUGGGCGUAAAGAGCUCGUAGGCGGUUUGUUGCGUCGGCUGUGAAAUCCCGAGGCUCAACCUCGGGUCUGCAGUCGAUACGAGCAAACUAGAGUGUUGCAGGGGAGACUGGAAUUCCUGGUGUAGCGGUGAAAUGCGCAGAUAUCAGGAGGAACACCGGUGGCGAAGGCGGGGCUCUGGGCAACAACUGACGCUGAGGAGCGAAAGCGUGGGGAGCGAACAGG
rnacentral:rRNA from 1 species